GAUGAACGCUGGCGGCGUGCCUAAUACAUGCAAGUCGAGCGAACAGACGAGGAGCUUACUCCUCUGACGUUAGCGGCGGACGGGUGAGUAACACGUGGAUAACCUACCUAUAAGACUGGGAUAACUUCGGGAAACCGGAGCUAAUACCGGAUAACAUGUUGAACCGCAUGGUUCAACAGUGAAAGACGGUCUUGCUGUCACUUAUAGAUGGAUCCGCGUCGCAUUAGCUAGUUGGUAAGGUGACGGCUUACCAAGGCAACGAUGCGUAGCCGACCUGAGAGGGUGAUCGGCCACACUGGAACUGAGACACGGUCCAGACUCCUACGGGAGGCAGCAGUAGGGAAUCUUCCGCAAUGGGCGAAAGCCUGACGGAGCAACGCCGCGUGAGUGAAGAAGGUCUUCGGAUCGUAAAACUCUGUUAUUAGGGAAGAACAAAUGUGUAAGUAACUAUGCACGUCUUGACGGUACCUAAUCAGAAAGCCACGGCUAACUACGUG
rnacentral:rRNA from 1 species